CGUGAGCAACCUACCUUCGAGUUUGGGAUAGCCCUGAGAAAUCAGGAUUAAUACCGAAUGUGGUCACGACGAGACAUCUCGACGUGAGUAAAGGCGAAAGCCGCUCGAUGACGGGCUCGCGGCCUAUUAGCUUGUUGGUGGGGUAACGGCCUACCAAGGCGAUGAUGGGUAGCUGGUCUGAGAGGACGAUCAGCCACACUGGAACUGACACACGGUCCAG
rnacentral:rRNA from 1 species